rnacentral:lncRNA from 1 species
GACACACUUAUUGGGAUCCAAAAGUAAUGCCUUUUCUAUGCUUAAAUCCCUCCUUGCUAUGGUCAGAACACAAUUUAAUGAUGUCGUUCAGACUGUUAGGAGUGACAAUGCCUUAGAAUUGGGCUUUAGCAAUGAGGGAAUUUCUUUCUUUAGCAGCCAGGGAAUCAUACAUCAAACCUCCUGCCCUCACACCCCUCAACAAAAUGGUGUUGUUGAGAGAAAGCAUAGGACUCUUCUUGAAGCCUGUAGAGCAUUGCUCUUUCAAUCUGACUUGCCAGUAUCUUUCUGGGGGGACUGCUUAUUGACUGCCACCUAUCUCCUUAACAGAAUACCCACCAGGUUGCUUCAUAACAAGUCUCCUCAUGAGAUUUUGUAUGGCAAAGUUCCUUCCUAUACUCACUUGAGGGAUUUUGGUUGCCUGGCAUAUGCCACUGUUCCCAUCCCUCAAAGGGACAAGUUAAAGCCAAGAGAUAUUCCUUGUGUUUUUCUGGGUUAUCCUUUUGGCAAAAAGGGUUAUAGGCUUUAUGAUUUUGCUUCCAAGAAGUAUUUGGUCUCCAGGGAUGUUCUAUUUCAUGAAUCAGUUUUUCCUUUUAAACAUGCAUCUCCCUCUGCUCCUCUUCCUGCUUCUUCUUUUCCCUUUAUUCCCUCUGGAGAACAUGAUGAUAUCUCUGAUUCUCCCAUUCCACUCUCUACUCCCUCUUCUGACACACCUGUACAAAUGCCCUCUUCUCCUCCACUCAGUCCUGCUGCUUCACCUCCUGUUUUGGAUCCUCCUCCCUCUGUUCCACAUCUGUACAAAUGCCCUCUUCUGCUCCUCUAAGUCCUGCUGCUUCACCUCCUGUUUUGGAUAAUCCUCCCUCUGUUCCUGCUCCCAGAAAGUCUACCAGACACCAUAAUCCUCCUUCCUAUUUUAAAGAUUAUGUGUGUCAACUCCCUGCCUUCUCUGGCUCAUCUUCCUCCUCUUUGGAAUCUGAGCCUCUAUACUAUUCUCAGGCAGCAUCUGUUCCNN